AGACUGGUGAAACAGUUGCCAUAAAGAAGGUUCUUCAAGACAAGAGAUAUAAGAACAGGGAGUUGCAGACCAUGCGUCUUCUUGACCACCCUAAUGUUGUCUCUCUGAAACACUGCUUCUUUUCGACAACUGAGAAGGAUGAACUAUAUCUUAACUUGGUACUUGAGUAUGUACCUGAAACUGUUCACCGUGUUAUCAAACACUACAAUAAGCUGAACCAAAGGAUGCCAUUGAUACUUGUGAAGCUUUACAAGGAUGAACUAUAUCUUAACUUGGUGCUUGAGUAUGUACCUGAAACUGUUCACCGUGUUAUCAAACACUACAAUAAGCUGAACCAAAGGAUGCCACUGAUACUUGUGAAGCUUUAUACAUAUCAGGUAGUGUACUCUUUUUUUGUGAGUUGUCAUUUAUAUGGAUCCUCCUUGUGGGGAACGCCGAAUAUGAGAUCUCUGCAAAUUCCGUUGUACAAGAGAUUGUUUUUCCUUUUGU
rnacentral:lncRNA from 1 species